AAGUCGUAACAAGGUUUCCGUAGGUGAACCUGCGGAAGGAUCAUUAUCACAAAUGAUUUUUAACUCUCUUAAUCCAGAGUUAAACCUCUUCUUAAACCAAUCUAAUUAAAAUGUGAAAUCGUUUUAUUUUAAGACUUGGCAACAAGUCUUAAAAUUAUUAACCAAUUGAACCCUUUUCUAAUUAAUGUUAUUUUAUUUAUUUAGUUCUGAAAUCCAUUAUAUAUCAAUAUGUAAUAAUAUUGACAUGUAAUAAGUUACAUUACGAAACAAUUUAAAUAAAACAACUCUUAGCAACGGAUAUCUUGGUUCUCGUAACGAUGAAGAACGCAGA
rnacentral:misc_RNA from 1 species